rnacentral:rRNA from 1 species
GACCCAGUUCAGACGGGAUUACCCGCUAGUUU